GGUCCUGUAGCUCAAUGGAUAGAGCGCCGAUACGACGAAUUUGGAGGUUGUGGGUUCGAGUCCCACCAGGUCCA
rnacentral:tRNA from 1 species